CGUGGGUAACCUGCCUUAUAGUGGGGGAUAGCCUUUCGAAAGGAAGAUUAAUACCGCAUAAGAUUGUAGUAUCGCAUGAUAUAGCAAUUAAAAGGAGCAAUCCGCUAUAAGAUGGACCCGCGUCGCAUUAGCUAGUUGGUGAGGUGAUGGCUCACCAAGGCGACGAUGCGUAGCCGACCUGAGAGGGUGAUCGGCCACAUUGGGACUGAGACACGGCCCAGACUCCUACGGGAGGCAGCAUGU
rnacentral:rRNA from 1 species